GCACUGAUGGCCGAGAGGAUAAGACAAUGGACUCCCGAUCAAUCGACUUCGGUGCAAUAGUUGAAGUAGGUGGGUUCGAAUCCCACUUGAGGCA
rnacentral:tRNA from 1 species